GGAUAGGUGGCUGAGUGGCUUAAGGCUCCGGUCUUGAAAACCGGCGUACCUUAACGGGUACCGUGGGUUCGAAACCCACCCUAUCCGCCA
rnacentral:tRNA from 1 species